rnacentral:misc_RNA from 1 species
GAUGAAGAACGUAGCGAAAUGCGAUAAGUAAUGUGAAUUGCAGAAUUCAGUGAAUCAUCGAAUCUUUGAACGCACAUUGCGCCCGCCAGCAUUCUGGCGGGCAUGCCUGUUCGAGCGUCAUUUCAACCCUCGACUUCCCUUUGGGGAAAUCGGCGUUGGGGACCGGCUGUAUACCGCCGGCCCCGAAAUGAAGUGGCGGCCCGUCCGCGGCGACCUCUGCGUAGUAAUCCAACUCGCACCGGAACCCCGACGUGGCCACGCCGUAAAACCCCCGACUUCUGAACGUUGACCUCGGAUCAGGUAGGAAUACCCGCUGAACUUAAGCAUAUCAAUAAGCGAAGGA